rnacentral:rRNA from 1 species
AUCAGGUAAAUAGGGCAGAGGUGUAAGUACAGUAAUGUAUGUAGCUGACUGUUACUAAUAGGUCGAGGGCUUGACCA